rnacentral:snRNA from 1 species
GUGCUCGCUUCAGCAGCACUUAUACUAAAACUGGAAUGAUACAGAGAAGAUUAGCAUGGCCCCUGUGCAAGGAUGACACAUAAAAAUGUUUCCUUAGAAAACACU